GCCUGGGAGAGCUCAGUCAGUAGAGCAGGAGACUCUGAAUCUCAGGGCUGUGGGUUCGAAUCCCACGUUGGGCA